rnacentral:rRNA from 1 species
AACGAACGCUGGCGGCAUGCCUAACACAUGCAAGUCGAACGAGACCUUCGGGUCUAUUGUCGCACGGGUGCGUAACGCGUGGGAACCUGCCCUUAUGGUCGGAAUAACUCCCCGAAAGGGGUGCUAAUACCGGAUAAUGUCUUCGGACCAAAGAUUUAUCGCCUUUGGAUGGGCCCGCGUUGGAUUAGCUAGUUGGUAGGGUAAAAGCCUACCAAGGCGACGAUCCAUAGCUGGUCUGAGAGGAUGAUCAGCCACACUGGGACUGAGACACGGCCCAGACUCCUACGGGAGGCAGCAGUGGGGAAUAGUGGACAAUGGGCGAAAGCCUGAUCCAGCAAUGCCGCGUGAGUGAUGAAGGCCUUAGGGUUGUAAAGCUCUUUUAACCGGGAUGAUAAUGACAGUACCGGGAGAAUAAGCUCCGGCUAACUCCGUG